rnacentral:rRNA from 1 species
UCGGCGCUAAUACCUCAUAAUGCAGCGGAUCCGCAUGGAUAUGUUGUUAAAGGUUUACCGCCUUGGGAUAGGCUUGCGUCUGAUUAGCUAGUUGGUGUGGUAAUGGCACACCAAGGCUACGAUCAGUAACUGGUCUGAGAGGAUGAUCAGUCACACUGGAACUGAGACACGGCCCAGACUCCUACGGGAGGCAGCAGUGAGGAAUAUUGGGCAAUGCACGAAAGUGUGACCCAGCAACGCCGCGUGGAGGAUGAAGGUAUUCUAUAUCGUAAACUCCUGUGAGAGCAGACGAAAGACAGAUUAUUAAUUUGGAUGACUGUAUGCUCAGAGGAAGCCCCGGCUAACUACGUG